CCGGGCAGUUGGCAAAUGCCUGAAGCCCCACUCAGUCAGAGCAGCACCGGCCAUCCACAUUGAGAGAUUUUAAUCCUUCCACAUAAAUCACUCCCUCCGGCUCCUUAAUCAUAGGUGACACUCGCAGCGCCGGCAUCUCGCGCUCUGGUUUCCCUGAAAGGUCUUGCAAGCUAAGCAGGGUGAAGCUGAGUCAGUAACUGAGAUGAAAGACGCAAGAACCACCCAGGAAGUGCACACAAAAGGAGUCCACAGACAGCACACGUCUCUCUGAGCCUCUGCUUCUCACGGUCCGGAAGAGGGACUCCCCGGGUCUAAAACCCCGCUGUUUUCUGAGUGAGGAGCCGGCCCGCAACCCCCACGGCGCGCUGUGCUCACCGGUGGAAACCGGAAGGUACCCCAAAGCCAGGAUCCCCCAAAGCCCCUUCAGCUUUCUAUGUGCUCUGCGCCUGUGCUCCCAACUUCCUUUAAGAGGCACAUGAUCAGAGUUUUGGCGGAACCAGUCGCGAUGGAACUGGCAGGAGGACUUUCAAUCCCGCUGGAAAGAGAAAUGGUUUGUCUCCUUUUCUGGAAACUGGAAGUAAUCAAAUACAGAAGCUUAAGAAGCUUAAUGACGAAGAAUAUCCAUGGCAUCUCUUUCUCCGAAUUCUGACGCUGACUUGCGGUCUUUCAGCCGUGUCCCUCAUUAUAGCACAUGUUCAUCUCUUCUUUCCCAUUUGGGCAGGAAUAUCUUUUCCUUUUCCCACCAUUCCUAGCAAGGUCUUACAAGCAGAGAAGUGACCCAAUGAAAACUUUUCAAUUGACCCAAGAGACUUUUUGUUGAACUAAUCCAUGUAGAACGGGGGACCAGGCAGGUAGCUGAAUAAUGAAGCCAGCUGGGUGGGAGACAGUUAAGAGGAGUAAAAACUGAGGUCAUAUGGAAAAUGGAUGUCCCAUCUGAGUGGAAAGCUCCUGUUGCCACCAACGUAGGCCCUGUGUUGCUAAAUGUUCCAAUUUUUUUUUUAUUGAAAAAAAAUUUUUUUUAGUGUUUAUGUAUUUUUGAGACAGAAAGAGAGAGAGGCAGAGAGAGAGACAGAGAGAAAAAGAAGGAGUGGGGGAGGAGCAAAGAGAGAGGGAGACACAGAAUCCAAAGCAGGCUCCAGGCUCCAAGCUGUCAGCACAGAGCCCGAUGCGGGUCUCGAACUCAUGAACCGUGAGAUCGUGACCUGAGACGAAGUCAGAUGCUUAACUGACUGAGCCACCCGGGCGCCUCUAAACGUCCCAGUUUUUAGUGGAAGAUAGAUCUUUAAUGUGAAAUCUCCCAGGGUUUAUGUGCUGGCAACCAAUUUUUAAGAAAUUACAAUUUUAAUACAGUACAGGCCCAAUAAUAACACAUCUGUGGCCCAGGUUCAGCCCAGGCCUAACAGUCUGCAAUAUCUUAGUUAAAGGAAAUUGCUGAGAAAUUACGAUGAAUAAUUCAGACUCCCCUUUGUCUCUCCCUUACACCAGACCAACCUUCAAGCAGCUGUGUGGCUGCAGCCUGCAGUCCUAUCCCCUGUCUCUUACUACUGCCAGUCACAGCUGCGCUGGCUGUCCUAGCCAGACUCGGCCCUAAGUCAGCAUGGAAUGACACAAACCACGCAUUCGCACAGCCCGCUGAGCCGUUGGAUGGU
rnacentral:lncRNA from 1 species